rnacentral:lncRNA from 1 species
GCCGUUGGGUCUGCAGUCCCCAUUGGGUUCGGUAUCUCCACUGGGGGCAGGCACUACUAUUGGGGUUGGGACACUCAUUGGGGUCGGGGGCUCCUUUUGGGGUUGGGCACGCCUAUUGGGGUCAGGCACCCCCAUUAGGUUGAGAACUCCCAUUGGGAAUGGUACCUUCAUUUGGGUUCGGUGCCCCUUUUGGGGUCAGGCACCUCCAUUGGGCUGGGAACCCCAAUUGAGGUUGGGGCCCUGAUUGGGUUGGUUCCUUCAUUGGAGUUGGGCAUCUCUAUUGGAGUUGCUACCUUCAUUGGGGUCUGGCAACUCUAUUGGGGUCAGGCACCUCCACUGGGUUGGGAAACCCCAUUGGGGUUGGUACCUUCAUGGGAGCUGGUAACUUCGUUGGGGUUGGGCACCACUGUUGGGGUUAAGCACUUCCAUUGGGGUUGGGACCCCCAUUGGGAUUGGGAUCCUCAUUGGAUUUGGGACCCUCUUUGGGGUUGGGACCCUCUUUGGGGUUGGCAUCAUCAUUGGUGUUGGGACUUUCAUUUGGUUUGGCACUUCCUUUGAGUUUGGCAACUUCAGCGGGGUUGGUGACUUCAUUGGGUUGGACGCCUCCAUUGGGGUCGGGUACCUCCAUUGGGUUGGGCACCCCUGUUGGGGUUGGUACCCCCAUUGGGCACACCUUUUGGGGUCGGGAACCCACACUGGGGUCGAGACCCCCAUUCAGUUUGGCACUCCCUUUGAUUUUGGUACUUUCGUUGGGGUUGUUUCGCUCACAUUGGGGUUGGUACCCUCAAAAUGGGGUUGGUAAUCUCACACUGGGGUUGGUUCCCUCACUGGGGUCAGGUACCCCCAUUGGGGUGGGGACCCUCAUUGGGAUUGAACACUCCUAUAGGGGUGAGGAACCUCCAUUGGGUUGGGAACCACCAUUGGAAUUGGUACCUUCAUUGGGGUCGGGCACCCAUGUUGGGGUCAGGAAGCUCUACUGGGUCGGGACCCUCAUUGGGGUUGGUACUUUCGUUGGGUUUGGGCACCUCCAUCGGGGUUGGGAUCCUCAUUGGUGUUGGGCAUCUCCAUCAGGGUUAGGAUCCUCAUACAGGUUGGACACCUCUGUUGGGGUUUGGAACAUCUUUUGGGGUUGGGCACCUCUAUUGGGGUUGGGACCUUCAUUGGGGUCAGGCACCUCUGUUGGGGUUGGGAACAUCUAUUGGAGUAGGGAUCCUUAUUGAGGUUGGGACCCUCAUUGGGGUUGGGCACCUCUAUUGGGGUUGGGACCUUCAUUGAGGUUGGGACCCUCAUUGGGGUUGGGCACCUCUAUUGGGGUUGGGACCUUCAUUGAGGUUGGGACCCUCAUUGGGG